UCUGUAAUUAAGGCUUGUACUGGUUUGAAUAAUGUUAGAUUAGGGAAGGGAUAUGCUUGUUGGUAGUUCUUUGCUGAAGGGUGUUUGUUUGAUGAAGUGAUCGAUAAAGAUUGUGUUUUGUGCAAUGUGGAACUUGCUGAAGUGGCUUCAAGAUAUCUCCUUGACUUGGACCCAAAAAUCUCUGGUUACUAUUUAUUGCUUUCACAUGUACUUGCCGACUCUGAACAAUGGAGGAGUGUGUGCGUCGGAUACGACGUUUGACGAAAGAUAGAGGAGUCCACAAAGUUCCUGGAUGCAGUUGGAUUUGUGGUCAUCAACACCUGUCAUAUGUUUUAUGCUGCAGAUGAAAGUCACCCACAGAUCUAUUCCUCACUGAAGAGUCUGCUCCUAGAACUAAGAAAAGAAGGUUAUGUUCCUCAAGCGCUGUACGAACAGCUUCUUUGGAAAUGACUGAAUCUGGAGAAUCAGACAUGCAUGGCACAAGCAAUUUUAAGACAAACGCAGUCAAAGGGGAAAUCAAACAGGAACAGGAUGAAAGAUAUUCGUGGCUCGAGCAUCUUCUUUGUUUGAUCUUAUAUCGAUCCAAAUGAGGAUCGCUUCCUUCUGGGACACAGUUCCACUAAUUUCUCGAAAUAGCUGGUAUGAAAUGAAGAUGGACAUGACAUGUAUCCAACAACUCCUGCACUCACGAUCAAGUUAUGAUGAAAAAUUAUGUUGCUGAGGAAACCUCAUCUGGUUUGCGGUUCCCUGCUUAUUCAUUGCCAUAUUUUUUUCAAUAUUAGAGCUCAUUAAUUACUUGAUCAGCAGCUGGUGAUAACUCCUUUGAUCUAAACCGGACAAGUCCCAGGUUACCAAGAUCUAGCCAAAGCAAUUGGCAGUUCACAGCUCUGGUGGACACUAUGCAAGGUUUGACAUCCUACUUGAAUUUUGAACUGGGGUUAGGGAGAUCAAUAGCAUAAAUAUUAGAGGUCUGCUGUUAUGUACAGAAUUUUUUAUAGUUAAUUUCAAUGUCAUUGCUUUGGCUUGCAACUUAUAGAAGACUACACUUGGAGAGAACUGUGUUAGUAGAUAAAAAUGUUGUUGUCUGCAACACCAUGACAUCAAGAACUAGAAGGGAAAAGUAAAGCAACAAAAAGACCUCAAUAAUCAACAAAACUACUCGCAAGAAAUUCCCUAUUCCUGUAUUUUUUUUUUGAUAAGUUUUCAUGAUCUUCUGUAGCCAAAAAAAAAAAAAUUUGUAGACUGUCAAAGCUAAUUAGCAAGGACCAUGAAUCAGACACCCAGGUGUGGUUUAUAAUCUAUAGUCUGAUUACCAUCUUGGUUCAUUGCCAUUCUGGAUUGGAACUUGUGGAUUGUUUGUGCUUGAUAUAUUCAUUGACAAAGAUGCAUGAUGUCUCUGAAAAUUCUUUUUAUGUCUGAUGAGCAGCGGUACUCCAUAGUUGAUGCAAAGGCAUUGGCCGAUCAACAAUUCCCUUUAUUGCUAUACGAUACGAAGUUGCAAUCAAGGAUAAGUAUUGUUAUUUUAAUCCCACCAUGCUUUGCUGCUUAAAGCGAGGACCAGACCCAUUUUCUCCGAUUAGACUAAGAACGCGGCCCCAUCUUGCAUGACCCUAAUCUCCAUAUCUUACCAGCAUAAUUCCACCUUUCUAUCUUAAUCUUAUUCUGAUUUGGAGCAUAUAUUCUUAAUGAACCAGCUGUCUGUGUAAUAGUAUUUGAGAUUGUUUCCACAGGUGGGCCACACACAUGCGCCGGCGCACACACAAUUCAGUCGAGAAAACGUUUAAUGGCUAAAGGAGCCAACCCCUUCUGCAUAGGAAUUUUCGGGAUUGAAACAAAAUUUUGAGAUGAGGACUAAUUGUGAUGGAAAUCAAGCUCUCUUUCUUGGCAGAACUGCUGUACAUUUUAAGGGACUAGGAGUUCCUGACAAUUUUUUCCCUCAUUGAAGUGGUUUUAGGGCUUGAAUUAAUCACAUUACUAAACCAAUCUUUGAAUACUAAUUUGCUUUUUUCAUGAGA